rnacentral:rRNA from 1 species
UAGAGUUUGAUCAUGGCUCAGAUUAAACGCUGGCGGCAUGCCUUACACAUGCAAGUCGAACGGCAGCACGGGGGCAACCCUGGUGGCGAGUGGCGGACGGGUGAGUAAAGCAUCGGAACGUAUCCUGGAGUGGGGGAUAACGUAGCGAAAGUUACGCUAAUACCGCAUAUUCUGUGAGCAGGAAAGCAGGGGAUCGCAAGACCUUGCGCUCUGGGAGCGGCCGAUGUCGGAUUAGCUAGUUGGUGGGGUAAAGGCCUACCAAGGCGACGAUCCGUAGCGGGUCUGAGAGGAUGAUCCGCCACACUGGGACUGAGACACGGCCCAGACUCCUACGGGAGGCAGCAGUGGGGAAUUUUGGACAAUGGGCGCAAGCCUGAUCCAGCCAUGCCGCGUGUCUGAAGAAGGCCUUCGGGUUGUAAAGGACUUUUGUCAGGGAGCAAAACUUACUGGUGAAUACCUGGUGAGGUUGAGAGUACCUGAAGAAUAAGCAUUAGCGGACUACGUGCCAGCAGCCGCGGUAAUA